GAUGAACGCUGGCGGUAUGCUUAACACAUGCAAGUCGAACGGACUCUUCGGAGUUAGUGGCGGACGGGUGAGUAACGCGUGAGAAUCUGGCUUUGGGUUCGGGACAACCACUGGAAACGGUGGCUAAUACCGGAUGUGCCGAGAGGUAAAAGAGAAAUUGCCUGAAGAUGAGCUCGCGUCUGAUUAGCUAGUUGGUGAGGUAAAGGCUCACCAAGGCAGCGAUCAGUAGCUGGUCUGAGAGGAUGACCAGCCACACUGGGACUGAGACACGGCCCAGACUCCUACGGGAGGCAGCAGUGGGGAAUUGUCCGCAAGGGGCGAAAGCCUGACGGAGCAAUACCGCGUGAGGGAAGAAGGCUCUUGGGUUGUAAACCUCUUUUCUUAGGGAAGAACAAAAUGACGGUACCUAAGGAAUCAGCAUCGGCUAACUCCGUG
rnacentral:rRNA from 1 species